GAGGGUAUAGCUCGAGGUUAGAGUACGUGCUUAGCAUGCGUCAGGUCCUGGGUUCAAUCCCCUGUACCUGCA
rnacentral:tRNA from 1 species